AGCGGCGGACGGGUGAGUAAUGCCUAGGAGUYCUGCCUGGUAGUGGGGGACAACGUUUCGAAAGGAACGCUAAUACCGCAUACGUCCUACGGGAGAAAGCAGGGGACCUUCGGGCCUUYGCGCUAUCAGAUGAGCCUAGGUCGGAUUAGCUAGUUGGUGAGGUAAUGGCUCACCAAGGCGACGAUCCGUAACUGGUCUGAGAGGAUGAUCAGUCACACUGGAACUGAGACACGGUCCAGACUCCUACGGGAGGCAGCAGUGGGGAAUAUUGGACAAUGGGCGAAAGCCUGAUCCAGCCAUGCCGCGUGUGUGAAGAAGGUCUUCGGAUUGUAAAGCACUUUAAGUUGGGAGGAAGGGUUGUAGAUUAAUACUCUGCAAUUUUGACGUUACCGACAGAAUAAGCACCGGCUAACUCUGUGCCA
rnacentral:rRNA from 1 species